UCCCGUUUAAGGUCCAGCGCUCUGCGUCACCCUUUUCUCAGCACUCUGACCAGCCACAAGCCAUGGCGUUCACUGUUGCCUGAAGACGCUUAGUGCAAAUCUAUUCAUAAAUUCCCACGACUGGGAAGCAGUCAAGAUGUCUUGCAGGAGGUGAGUAAGACCCAGCAAGCAAUGAAAUAUUAUUCGGCCAUAAAGAGACGCGUGUUUUUAAGCCGUGAACAGAUGUGGAGGACUCUUGCAGGAAAGAAGGCAGUCUGGGAAAGCCACAUGCGGCGUCAUUCGAACCCUAUGACAUUCUGGAAAAGCGAAACCAUUGAGGCAGUGAACCGUGCUCCCCGGGGAUCGGAGAUGAAGGAGGGAAGAGUUGGCCGAGCACACAGGAUUUUAGGGCAGUGAGACGGUUCUGUAGAAUACUGUGAUGGUGGAUUUGGGACACUAUACAUUUGUCCAGACUAUGAACAGAAGGAACCCUAAUGUGAGCUAUGGACUCUGGCAGAUAACCUCUGCCUGAAGCCGCGGAUGUAGCGGGACAAGGGAGAGCGCUUUUGAAGAUUAUGAUGGGCAAGAGCGACCUCUGCUGGGCGAAUGGGACAUACUCACACGCGCCCUGGACUAACCCAGAAAUUACGAAAUGCUUGUGGAGGUCCUGCCUCCAGGUUCCUGCCUCCAGGUUCCUGCCUCCAGGUUCCUGCCUCUAGGUUUCUG